CUCUCUCUUUCACGCAGUCUCUCCCUCUCUCUUUCUCUCUCUCUCUCUCUCUCACGCAGUCUCGCCCUCUCUCUCUCUAUUGGUAACCUUUUGGAAAUCUCAUUUGUUUUGUUUUUCUUAGCAGAAAGAAUGGAGCUUUGAUGGUCUCUCUCAAGCAGUCUCUGUUCUAAAGCAUCUCAGCUCCCUUCUCUCUUGUGCCGGUGAGUUCUGGGAAACAACAAGUUUCAAGCUUCAUAGUUUCAAGCUUCAUCUCCGAAACAACAAGUCUCGGAAACCCAUCUCUUCCUUUGAGGUCUCGGCUCCCUUUGCUUUGAGGUUCUCACUGCUCUGUUCUCUUUGUUUAUAACAGCCUUUAUUUAACCAACAAGUUUUAUUGUGUUGAGCUCUGUUCUCUUUUCUCUUGCUGUGUCUUUGUGUUGUUUACUGUUUGAAAAGUACUUACUUUCUUUGUUCUGAAGUAAUGCUGCCUCUUGUCUUGUUGAAUUCGUUGCAUGUUAUUAGAUACAUUGAAGAUU